rnacentral:rRNA from 1 species
AUUGAACGCUGGCGGCAGGCCUAACACAUGCAAGUCGAGCGGAUGAAGGGAGCUUGCUCCUGGAUUCAGCGGCGGACGGGUGAGUAAUGCCUAGGAAUCUGCCUGGUAGUGGGGGAUAACGUCCGGAAACGGGCGCUAAUACCGCAUACGUCCUGAGGGAGAAAGUGGGGGAUCUUCGGACCUCACGCUAUCAGAUGAGCCUAAGUCGGAUUAGCUAGUUGGUGGGGUAAAGGCCUACCAAGGCGACGAUCCGUAACUGGUCUGAGAGGAUGAUCAGUCACACUGGAACUGAGACACGGUCCAGACUCCUACGGGAGGCAGCAGUGGGGAAUAUUGGACAAUGGGCGAAAGCCUGAUCCAGCCAUGCCGCGUGUGUGAAGAAGGUCUUCGGAUUGUAAAGCACUUUAAGUUGGGAGGAAGGGCAGUAAGUUAAUACCUUGCUGUUUUGACGUUACCAACAGAAUAAGCACCGGCUAACUUCGUG